rnacentral:tRNA from 1 species
GCCGGAGUGGUGGAAUGGCAGACACAAGGGACUUAAAAUCCCUCGGCCCACAAGGCUGUACCGGUUCAAGUCCGGUCUCCGGCACCA